UUUUCCACGACAAUUUGGGGGCUCGUCCGGGAUCCACAGAUGACAUCCCUGGAUCAGAGGACCGCGGGCAGUUCCCUUCCAACCCCAGGGCCCAUCUGAGAGGUAAGAGACCUUUUGAAAUCUCUGAUAUCAGGGGCUUGGGAGAGGACUGGUCCGUAGGCUCUGGCUGGGGUAAGUCACAAGCUGGAUCCAACCUUGGGACAUGGUCAGACACACCUGAGGCCCUUACUUAGGCCUUGAUAGACUCGAGCUGGGGUUUGGGAGGGAACGGGUGUCUAGUGCAGUCGGGAGACGUCUCGGGAGUCAGGUUGAGUAUCCGGCUCAACCCCGGGCUGAGCCUUGCCUCGGCCCGGUGUUCAGGGGUCAGGUUGAGUAUCCGGCUCAACCCCGGGCUGAGCCUUGCCUCGGCCCGGUGUCAGGGGUCAGGUUGAGUAUCCGGCUCAACCCCGGGCUGAGCCUUGCCUCGGCCCGGUGUUCAGGGGUCACGGUGUGCCGGCAGCCCCUCGGACCACGCUCUUUGGGUCCGGAGAAAACUGAUCGCCUAUUAGAGCUGGGCGUUCGGCGUCCCGGAGCCACUAGGUUGGGAGGGACCAGGGGUAGUUUCAGCCCUGGCGAGCUGUGCCAGGAAACGUGCCAGUGUGAGUGAGGCCGUGCGGCCUGUGUGUGUGUAUAAGGCCGAGCAGCCGGAGUGUUGUUGGUUGUGGAAAGCAAGCUCCACAACCCGCUUGAAGAGAGAUUGAAAAGCUUCCCUGACUGGCAGGCUUUGGUAAGUGGCUAACCAGUCAGGGUGCUUGUGUUGUUCCCUAUCCUGUUGCCCUUACCCCUCCAUAUCCCCAUGGCCCUGUGACCGUUCUUUGAACACUGCCUUGUAAAAGGCCGCAGAGUCCCUUUUGUUCCCCCGGAGCCAUAAGCUCCCUUCCCUUCCUCGGAGAGGAGGGAAGCCCCAGGAAACCGUACCGUCAGCUCAAAAGCUACUGCAGCACCGUUGGCUUGAAGGCUGGUGCCCAGGGCUGGAGAGGGACGUACGG